CGGUGACGUUGCGGUGUGCGGCAUCUCGGACGAGAAGACUGGGCUUACGUUGGAUGCAAGUUAUUGUCGUCCGGCAAGGUUUUAAAAAGUGAUGUUAUAGCCACUGGACAUUGAAGCGAUUGAAGACCUGAAAGCCUUAGUGCGACCGGCUUGAUUCAGGUGGCUUAUAUGUAUACCAUUGGGAGAGUUAAAGAAGUUUAGUCCUCUAAAAGAAGUCCUCCGGAAAGUUUACUGCAACAAAGAUUACUCCCCGAGAGCGACACUCGUUAAGGAUGCGAGUAUUUGAAGUUCCGCUUUCAAGCAUUGGACGGCCUGCAAAUUACCAUUGGAGCCAAACUGUAUGCAUUUUCUAGAUGAUCUUAAAUACGGAGCGGUAUUCUAAAGAUGUAGUUGUGCAGUGUGUAGUUCGUAGAUUACGAAACAACGGAGCGAGAAUACAGUUGGCGUUCCGUUUUGGGUCAGUUAUUUUGUUUUCCUUUUUCCAUGUUUUAAAGUCGCUGUGCUUUAUGCUCAGGAUCGAAGCAAAAUGUACAGGAGUAGGCUGCGAUGUGAUGCGUGUUGUAUAAAACCAAUAAACCAAAAAUGGCA